rnacentral:rRNA from 1 species
AAGUCGUAACAAGGUCUCCGUAGGUGAACCUGCGGAGGGAUCAUUAUCGAAUGGCCUCCUGGCCUUCAACCUUGAAAACCUGUGGAAGCAAGGUGUGCUUCGGCGCUCCAGCGCCGUUUUUAUGCCUCGAACAAGUGUUUGUCUGAAUCAAAUACAAGAAAUAAAACUUUCAACAAAGGAUCUCUUGGCUCUCGCAUCGAUGAAGAACGCAGCGAAGCGCGAAAUGUAGUGUGAAUCGCAGAACAUUGUGAAUCAUCGAAUCUUUGAACGCACAUUGCGCCUCUGGUAACUUGGAGGCAUGCCUGUCUGAGCGUCAUUUAAAACCAUAAGCACCUCUGUGUUUGUAUUGGGCGUCGCCUCUGGGGCGUCACCUCAAAGUCAUUGGUCUUAUACGCGGACGAGAUCCAUUAGGACAGACCGUGCACGGACUUUAAAUCUCUGACUUGACCUCAGAUCAGGUAGGACUACCGCCUGAACUUAA